GACGAACCGUGCGAACGUUAUUCGGAAUCACUGGGCUUAAAGCGCGUGUAGGCGGGCCCCCACGUCGGUCGCUGAAAGCCCCCGGCUCAACCGGGGACGGGCGGCGAAACGAGGGGCCUGGAGGGGUGUAGGGGGACCUGGAACUUCCGGUGGAGCGGUGAAAUGCGUUGAGAUCGGAAGGAACGCCCGUGGCGAAAGCGAGGCUCGUCGGACGCAUCGUGACGCUGAGACGCGAAAGCCAGGGGAGCGAACGGG
rnacentral:rRNA from 1 species